rnacentral:rRNA from 1 species
UACGUAGGGGGCUAGCGUUGUCCGGAAUCAUUGGGCGUAAAGAGCGCGUAGGCGGCCAGAUAAGUCCGGUGUGAAAGUCACAGGCUCAACCUGUGAAUGCCGCUGGAAACUGUCUGGCUAGAGUCCGGAAGGGGCGAGUGGAAUUCCUGGUGUAGCGGUGAAAUGCGCAGAUAUCAGGAGGAACACCAAUGGCGAAGGCAGCUCGCUGGGACGUGACUGACGCUGAGACGCGAAAGCGUGGGGAGCAAACAGG